rnacentral:rRNA from 1 species
GAUCCUGGCUCAGAUUGAACGCUGGCGGCAGGCUUAACACAUGCAAGUCGAGCGGGGUGAGGUGCUUCGGUACUGAUCCUAGCGGCGGACGGGUGAGUAAUGCUUAGGAAUCUGCCUAUUAGUGGGGGACAACAUUCCGAAAGGAAUGCUAAUACCGCAUACGUCCUACGGGAGAAAGCAGGGGAUCUUCGGACCUUGCGCUAAUAGAUGAGCCUAAGUCGGAUUAGCUAGUUGGUGGGGUAAAGG